rnacentral:rRNA from 1 species
AUUGAACGCUGGCGGCAGGCCUAACGCAUGCAAGUCGAGCGGAUGAAGGGAGCUUGCUCCUGGAUUCAGCGGCGGACGGGUGAGUAAUGCCUAGGAAUCUGCCUGGUAGUGGGGGAUAACGUCCGGAAACGGGCGCUAAUACCGCAUACGUCCUGAGGGAGAAAGGGGGGGAUCUUCGGACCUCACGCUAUCAGAUGAGCCUAGGUCGGAUUAGCUAGUUGGUGGGGUAAAGGCCUACCAAGGCGACGAUCCGUAACUGGUCUGAGAGGAUGAUCAGUCACACUGGAACUGAGACACGGUCCAGACUCCUACGGGAGGCAGCAGUGGGGAAUAUUGGACAAUGGGCGAAAGCCUGAUCCAGCCAUGCCGCGUGUGUGAAGAAGGUCUUCGGAUUGUAAAGCACUUUUAGUUGGGAGGAAGGGCAGUAAGUUAAUACCUUGCUGUUUUGACGUUACCAACAGAAUAAGCACCGGCUAACUACGUG